CCUACGGGGGGCUGCAGUGGGGAAUAUUGCACAAUGGGGGAAACCCUGAUGCAGCGACGCCGCGUGAGCGAUGAAGUAUUUCGGUAUGUAAAGCUCUAUCAGCAGGGAAGAAGAUGACGGUACCUGACUAAGAAGCCCCGGCUAACUACGUGCCAGCAGCCGCGGUAAUACGUAGGGGGCAAGCGUUAUCUGGAUUUACUGGGUGUAAAGGGAGCGUAGACGGCGAUGCAAGCCAGAUGUGAAAGCCCGGGGCUCAACCCCGGGACUGCAUUUGGAACUGUGUGGCUGGAGUGGCGGAGAGGCAGGAGGAAUUCCUAGUGUAGCGGUGAAAUGCGUAGAUAUUAGGAGGAACACCAGUGGCGGAGGCGGCCUGCUGGACGAUGACUGACGUUGAGGCUCGAAAGCGUGGGGAGCAAACAGGAUUAGAUACCCCAGUC
rnacentral:rRNA from 1 species